GAGCUUUCGGCACGGGGUCAAGCCACUACUCUGAGCCUUCACCUAAAAGACCAAGAGUUUCUGCCCCAGAACCAGAAAUGCUGCAGAUUGGAUGAUGACAGAGUCUGCAUGGACUUGAAUAGAAUUCAGAAGGGUGCUGUGGCUGUUUGUGCCAUCGAUGCAUCUGGCUGCUUCACAGCAGAGGUGGCUGACUUGGCUGGACAGUAUGUGAAGGACGCAGAUAAGAACAUCACUAAAGUACUGAAAGAGAAAGGCAGACUGGUUCACAGCAGUAGUUUUAAGCACAGCUCUCCUUUCUACUGGAGAGUCUUUUCAUCUUCCCUGGACUAACUGAAAACACCUCUUUCAGUAUGUGACCUUGCCUGAGUUGCCUGCUGUUGUGAUCUUCAAAGAUGGAGCUUCCUUUGUUUCUGAUGGUGCCAAAAAGGAGAGCUUCUUCACCUGCUUCUCCGGUGCAAGCUCUUCUGUCUGUCUGUUGAGAUGUUUCUGCCUGUUUAUCUGGCAGAGAAGUGUUUGCUUUUUUGGCUGGCGAGCUGACCAUCCGUACUACCGUCGCCUUGAAUGCCUCCAACCAGCAGUGUUUGCUGCCAGACAGACACCUUGAGAAGACAGAGGACAUGGUUAAGUUCAUGAACAAUAUCUUGGAUGGUGCUGCUGAAGCACAGGCUGGUGAUGGACUUCUGCAACGAAGCAAGAGAGUCAUCUAUGAGGCCAAGGCUGCUGUAAUGAUAGAGUAUAUUGCUUAUUCAGUGAGGUGAUGCUCUUGUCAGUCAAGAUCUUCAUCUGGAUGUGCCACUUUCUGGUCAGGGCUGUCCUUUGGAAGAGAAAUAGUUGUAUCACAGUAUCACCAAGGUUGGAAGAGACCUCAUAGAUCAUCAAGUCCAACCCUUUACCACAGAGCUCAAGGCUAGACCAUGGCACCAAGUGCCACGUCCAGUCCUGCCUUGCACAGCUCCAGGGACGGCGACUCCACC